UACAGAGGGUGCAAACGUUGCUCGGAAUUAUUGGGCGUAAAGCGCGUGUAGGCGGCUCGUUAAGUCGACUGUGAAAGCCCUUGGCUCAACCAAGGAAGUGCAGUCGAAACUGGCGAGCUAGAGUCCCGAAGAGGAUGGCGGAAUGCCCAGUGUAGAGGUGAAAUUCGUAGAUAUUGGGUAGAACACCAGUGGCGAAGGCGGCCAUCUGGGAGGCGACUGACGCUGAGACGCGAAAGCGUGGGGAGCAAACAGGAUUAGAUACCCUGGUAGUCCACGCCGUAAACGAUGAGCACUAGGUGUUGCGGGUAUUGACCCCUGCAGUGCCGACGCUAACGCAUUAAGUGCUCCGCCUGGGGAGUACGGCCGCAAGGCUAAA
rnacentral:rRNA from 1 species